rnacentral:lncRNA from 1 species
GGCACUAUUGUCAAGACGAUUUGUUGAGAGGAGAAAACUCCCAAUAAAACACCGAGAAACACGCUUUCAACAACCAUCACAAGAAGAGCAUAUUCAUUCUGAUUUACCUAAAGAAUGUAUGAUGUAAAAUAAUGAAAGAGGCGAAGAGAUAUGGUGAACCAAAUGGAACGGUCAAUGAGUCUAACACCAAAUAGAAUCAUGCACUGCAAAAACAAACAUAAUAUAUUAGCACAAGAAACAAAGCAAUAACAACAUCCUUAUUAAUAGAAGGGGCAGGGGAUCAAUAACCAAAACCCUUUAUUGUUGAUUUUGGCUUUGGCCAACACCCACAAGCCAUUACCAGGUCUGCACUUGAACCUAAAAAUCCAGCAUUAACCCAAAUGAGAAAACAGCCAAGAUAACAACAGCUAGAGAGAGAGGAUUGGCAGCAAACGAAGACAAUGACAAUAACGUGAUUUGUAGAAUCCUCACCAGGAAGAUAUGCAUAGAAUUGUUCUUGAAUGGACACAUUAAACUAGAGGAAUCAGUCACAAAAGUUCUUACUAAUGUACAUACAAUGGAUACAAUUAAUACUUCUAGCAUACAAACACCUCUUUGAAGAUAGUUAUAACCAUGAUUCCCUGUAUAAGGCAGAUGGUAGUUCAAAAGAAAAGCAGCAAACCAGAACACAUAUUCUCUUUUGGUUACACUUACACUCAAGUAAAUGAUAAUUAUUCCAAAUCAAUCAGACCAACCAGCCGUGAGUUACAUAAUAAAAGACAGUUGUCAUUCUACUCCAAUUAUGGUCAUCAUUGGCAAAUGAAAAUCCUCUCAAACAGUUACACAGGCUCAUAAUCAGCAUGAAUGGAGUAAUUAUUUGAGUAAUUUCGGAGGGGGCAAUCAGUGAGACUAAGUAUACCAGCCAAGAAUUUCAAAAGGGCAGUAAGGCAUCCAGGAGUUAUUCAGUUAUGCUUUCCUCAUGAAUGGCAAUAUCAGUGAGUAAAAAGGGAUAAACCAGAGCAAUUAAACAGAGGCAAAUAUUAUGCUUUCAGUUACACAAUCAGCCUAAAUGGCAACUUUAAUGCAUUGAUUCAGAAAACCAAUAAGUCAUGGCAUGUUACACAUUGUUGGUAAGUCAAAAAGUUUUCACAAACCAGCCAAUAACCUACAACCAUCUAUAAAAGGCAUGUCUCAAUUGGUGCACAAGGGAGCAGGAGAAAAAGUAAGCAGAGAAAAAGCAUACUGAUAUCACCCAUAUACACUUAACAAAGCAGAGAGCAUAAUCCAUACACAUAUAUCCAACAAGCAAUCAUAGAUAUUGCCUGCAUACCUACAAAUAUAGCAAAGGGAUACACACAGAUACAGAACAUCAAAGUAUACAUAGUUCUCAGCAGGGUAAAAAGGGGCUCCGUGUCAGACAAUUACAAAGUAAAGGUCCAAAGGAUAAAGGAAUAGACCUUCAUACAAUCAUCCUACUACAUCCCAGUGUCAGCAAUCUUAAAUAGGUACUAUAUUACCCUUCUCAAAUGUUAUUCUGAAAUGCUAAAUGAUUUAUAAUCGUAGGAAGUGAGUCAUUAUCAUAACACAUAAUGCUUUUAAAAAAUUGUUUAAUCUUAACCCUGUAAUUCAUGGUUUGUAAAUCCUUAUGUACGUUGUUUUGUUUUCCAAUGCUAUUCAUGGCAUAAACAUUAGGAACAUGUGUUACUCAUUAACAUGGGUAAGCCUGGUAUUACGAAAUAAAAAAAACAGGGACCUUUUGCAAUAUUUUCUCUUCAGCAAGAAAACACAUCAUCCAUUAACUGCACACUAAGUCCUUUUUUAUUUAAGCAAUCUGUAAUAUGAAAGGUAAAACACGACAACAUAAAAUAAGUAGAUCAAACACAACAACACGCUGUUAAGAACUUUGAGUUCAAUUCACAAAUCAGUAUAAACAGUAAAUAGAAAAAAAAAAAAACAUCUUGCAUUCAAGGGAUAUGGUACUUUACCUGUCCUUGGUGUUGCCGUGGUCGCGGUGGUAUACCACCGAGGAUGAUAAAGGAUGGUGGCCCCGAGGCUUCGCCAUCAUCGUGUCUCCCUAACCAUCCCAGUUCCAACCGUGGAUGAACCCUCUUCGUCGCCUUCCUAAGUCGCCGUUGCUGGAGAAGAACCCGCCACCGAGAGAAGAAAAACGCGUGAAGAGGAGAUGGUGCAGCGUCUCACCACCAUCGGCCCCGUCUCACCACCACCGCGGACCACUGCGAGCCGCCCCAAUGCUUCGAGCCGCCAUGAAUGGGGACCCCCGAGCCACCGUCACCACCACCGGAGAUGGAGCUAGAAAGGAAAUGGAGUUGGGGAUUAGGGAUUUCAAUUUUUUCCCUUAUCCUGCGUGAACAUGGGGUUAAGGGGAUAACACCCCUCAAUUACCCCUUUUGGUUUUACACGAGGC